GGAGCGUUAGGUUCUUCUUUUUGGUUAUGUAUCUCUCUGGAGUACUUAGCAAUUAAAUAUUUGAUUUUCAUACGAAGAAAUAUAUUUUGAGUGUUUCAUGCCUUCUUCUCUUGCGUAAUUUUACUUCCAGAAAAUUAGGCGUAAUUAAAAUAUGAGAUAUAUAAGGUCAUUUUAAAUAUGCUAUGUUUGAGUGGCAUUUUAAGUGUUACGUUGAUGCUUACUAUGUUUAUGUGGCUUUGUCAUUGUUUGUCGGAAUAAAACUGAUGUUAUGCAAUAAUGUUUACAUACAUAAUGACACCUAAACUGAAAAGCAGCAACAACUACCAAGUGUUCAUACAUAAGUAACAAAUAAACAUACAUAAGCAAACAACGCAACUACAAACUGAAAAUACAUAAACUCAAAAGACAUAAACUACUUCUUCUUAUGCCCGAAGAUAUGGCUGCCCGUGUGACAUUUCCUGCCCUUCCCCUUUGCAUCUCUGGGUGGCUGCUGUCUCUGCUCAGGCUGGGACGGCUCCUCGGGUUCCGACUGAUCUCGUACUGCCCACGGGCUACUCUCAGCAACGUACGCACCAAAACUAUGCAUAUGUACAGGAGUAGGAGUGGACCUCACCCCUGCCGGUGUAACUGGAAACGCAGGUGCCCCGAACACGUAGGAUGGGCUACCAAAUGACGGGACCGGGGCCUGUAGCGGAGGUGUGGUGUACUGAUCGGUCAGGAAUGACAUGUCAGGACGAUAAACAUCUCGAUCAGCAAACUGGUAUGACUCCUGAAGUGGAGGAGAAACAUGUGUGUGCCCACCACUAGGAGAGGUGUCCUCGUCAGCCCCUAAAUUCACCGCAAAACCACCAUCACCACCUACGUAGUCAUCCCCUGCAGUCUCAGUUGCCACCUCGGUCCAACGGGGCCAUUCCCCCGCCCCUGAAGGAGCCCGUGCAUCCCUAUCUGGCGCAGUAGAGGUGCCAACAUGGUGCGACCAGCUACUACUGCCCACAUGAGUGUAGUAAGUGCCAGGCUCCGGCUCAACUGGUGUGACAGGACGCCGACCUCUGCGUGUCGGAGGGCCUCCGUAACCCCUGACACGAGCAAUCACCCCUGUAGCAGACUCUGUGCCCGAUUGAGAUCGGGAGCAGCAGGGUCAAUGGCAGAGUCCACCUCUAGAAGCUGCUCCUCCUGUUACCAAACAUAAACAUGCAAAGAGAAGUCAGGCCGAGAAUACAUUCUAGAUGACAUAACAUAUGCAGUAGAACAAAAGUAAUUGUGGAAGACAGUAAAAGUAGUUGUUUACCAAUGACUGUGUGGCGCCCUGUGUCCCCUGAAAAGCAUCCGCUCUACGCCAGAACAAUGGGUUAACCAUGUAUCUACGUGUAACCUGGAGGUACCAAGGCAUGUAUGCGGGAGAGCAACCAUUGCCCAAAAUGAAUGGCGGAGAUGUCAUAGCUCGGGCAAGAGACGUAUCCUAGUAAUGAAUGUAUGUCUCCCUGGCGCCCUGCCAGUCAAUAGACUCGUUGACGACAUCGUGCAACUCAUGAUGAUUCCUACGUGGGGAGGAUGUAGGUAUGUCCUGAACGAACCCAAACUGCCUCGUGACCCUGUCAGUAUA
rnacentral:lncRNA from 1 species